UAUUCUUUUCUGUGGCAGGGGUCAUUUCUGUAGUCACUUCUCAUUACUAGAGAAGUUUCUCUGAAUGUGUAGAGCACCCAAAAUCAUGAUGAGGAGACACAGCGUUCUCUCAUGAGUGUGACACUGGCUCUUGGUAUUGCUUCUGCAACAGCCACUUGCCAUUGAUGAUCAUUCUCUUCCUUUGGGAGAGUAAGAGGGAGAGAAGUUUAAUUCUCAGU
ensembl:snoRNA U3 Small nucleolar RNA U3